rnacentral:rRNA from 1 species
CACAUGCAAGUCGGACGGCAGCACGGGCUUCGGCCUGGUGGCGAGUGGCGAACGGGUGAGUAAUGUAUCGGAACGUGCCCAGUAGCGGGGGAUAACUACGCGAAAGCGUGGCUAAUACCGCAUACGCCCUACGGGGGAAAGCGGGGGACCUUCGGGCCUCGCACUAUUGGAGCGGCCGAUAUCGGAUUAGCUAGUUGGUGGGGUAACGGCCUACCAAGGCGACGAUCCGUAGCUGGUUUGAGAGGACGACCAGCCACACUGGGACUGAGACACGGCCCAGACUCCUACGGGAGGCAGCAGUGGGGAAUUUUGGACAAUGGGGGCAACCCUGAUCCAGCCAUCCCGCGUGUGCGAUGAAGGCCUUCGGGUUGUAAAGCACUUUUGGCAGGAAAGAAACGGCACGGGCUAAUAUCCUGUGCAACUGACGGUACCUGCAGAAUAAGCACCGGCUAACUACGUGCCAGCAGCCGCGGUAAUACGUAGGGUGCAAGCGUUAAUCGGAAUUACUGGGCGUAAAGCGUGCGCAGGCGGUUCGGAAAGAAAGAUGUGAAAUCCCAGGGCUUAACCUUGGAACUGCAUUUUUAACUACCGGGCUAGAGUGUGUCAGAGGGAGGUGGAAUUCCGCGUGUAGCAGUGAAAUGCGUAGAUAUGCGGAGGAACACCGAUGGCGAAGGCAGCCUCCUGGGAUAACACUGACGCUCAUGCACGAAAGCGUGGGGAGCAAACAGGAUUUAGAUACCCUGGUAGUCCACGCCCUAAACGAUGUCAACUAGCUGUUGGGGCCUUCGGGCCUUGGUAGCGCAGCUAACGCGUGAAGUUGACCGCCUGGGGAGUACGGUCGCAAGAUUAAAACUCAAAGGAAUUGACGGGGACCCGCACAAGCGGUGGAUGAUGUGGAUUAAUUCGAUGCAACGCGAAAAACCUUACCUACCCUUGACAUGUCUGGAAUCCCGAAGAGAUUUGGGAGUGCUCGCAAGAGAACCGGAACACAGGUGCUGCAUGGCUGUCGUCAGCUCGUGUCGUGAGAUGUUGGGUUAAGUCCCGCAACGAGCGCAACCCUUGUCAUUAGUUGCUACGAAAGGGCACUCUAAUGAGACUGCCGGUGACAAACCGGAGGAAGGUGGGGAUGACGUCAAGUCCUCAUGGCCCUUAUGGGUAGGGCUUCACACGUCAUACAAUGGUCGGGACAGAGGGUCGCCAACCCGCGAGGGGGAGCCAAUCCCAGAAACCCGAUCGUAGUCCGGAUCGCAGUCUGCAACUCGACUGCGUGAAGUCGGAAUCGCUAGUAAUCGCGGAUCAGCAUGUCGCGGUGAAUACGUUCCCGGGUCUUGUACACACCGCCCGUCACACCAUGGGAGUGGGUUUUACCAGAAGUAGUUAGCCUAACCGCAAGGGGGGCGAUACC